AUGCAGCGCGGUCGGCGGCACGGCGAGAGGGCAGCGCGGCAACCGGGGGCAGGCGGCGGCGUGUCGUUAUUGGGGGACGAUUUCUUCGAUCUGUUCGACUCCGCCGGAUUCGAGGACGACGAUCUCUUUGGCUCGCCCAGGUCCAGCCCGUCGGCACUCGGCUCGGUGCUCGGCGGCGAGAGGCCGGUGAAGGCGGCGCCGAUAGAGCACAAGCUGCCGUGCACCAUGGAAGAGCUUUACGCGGGGACAACCAGGAGGAUGAAGAUCACCAGGCUCGUCGCCGACGCCGACGCCAGUGGCACCGGGGGAACGGUCCCGGCAGAGGACAUCGUGACGAUCGAGGUGAAGCCGGGGUGGAAGAAGGGCACGAGGAUCACCUUCCCGGAGCGGGGGAACGAGCGGCCCAACACGGUCCCGGCCGACGUGGUCUUCGUCGUCGACGAGAAGCCGCACCUGGUGUUCGCCCGGGACAGCGACGACCUCGUCGCGACGUGCAGGGCGCCCCUGGCCGGGCGCGCCAUGCACCUGACGGCGCUCGACGGGCGCGGCCUCACGGUGCCCGUCAGCAGGUCGGCGGUCCGCCCGGGGUGCGAGGUGGUGGUCCGCGGCGAGGGCAUGCCCGUCCCCAGGAAGCCGUCCAGGAGGGGCGACGUGCGGGUGAGGUUCGACGGCAACUAA
rnacentral:rRNA from 1 species